rfam:Oryza brachyantha chromosome 6, whole genome shotgun sequence.
AUUUUGUGGUUUUUGUGUUCAGUGUUUGACCAUCUGUCUUAUUUGAAAAAUUUAUAAAAAAAAAUUUUAAAAAAUUAGUCACGCGUAAAGUACUAUUCAUUUUUCAUCAUCUAAUAACAAUAAAAAAAUUUAUCACAAUUUUUUUAAAUAAGACGAAGAGUCAAACAUUGUAUCCAAAAACUGGAAAAUGAACUUAUU